UAACACAUGCAAGUCGAACGAAGUAGCAAUACUUAGUGGCAGACGGGUGAGUAACAUGUAGGUAUCUGCCCUUUGGCCUGGAAUAACACGAGGAAACUUGUGCUAAUACCGGAUAAGUCUUUACGGAGAAAGCUUUAUGCACCAUUGGAUGAGCCUGCCCUAGAUUAGUUUGUUGGUGGGGUAAUGGCCUACCAAGACUGUGAUCUAUAGCUGAUUUGAGAGGAUGAUCAGCCACAUUGGGACUGAGACACGGCCCAAACUCCUACGGGAGGCAGCAGUGGGGAAUCUUGCACAAUGGAGGAAACUCUGAUGCAGCGAUGCCGCGUGAGUGAAGAAGGCCUUUGGGUUGUAAAGCCUCUUUCGUCGGGGAAGAAAAUGACUGUACCCGAAUAAGAAGGUCCGGCUAACUUCGUGCCAGCAGCCGCGGUAAUACGAAGGGACCUAGCGUAGUUCGGAUUUACUGGGCUUAAAGAGUUCGUAGGUGGUUGAAAAAGUUAGUGGUGAAAUCCCAGAGCUUAACUCUGGAACUGCCACUAAAACUUUUCAGCUAGAGUAUGAUAGAGGAAAGCAGAAUUUCUAGUGUAGAGGUGAAAUUCGUAGAUAUUAGAAAGAAUACCAAUUGCGAAGGCAGCUUUCUGGAUCAUUACUGACACUGAGGAACGAAAGCAUGGGUAGCGAAGAGGAUUAGAUACCCUCGUAGUCCAUGCCGUAAACGAUGUGUGUUAGACGUUGGAAAUUUAUUUUCAGUGUCGCAGCGAAAGCAAUAAACACACCGCCUGGGGAGUACGACCGCAAGGUUAAAACUCAAAUGAAUUGACGGGGACCCGCACAAGUAGUGGAGCAUGUGGUUUAAUUCGAAGAUACGCGCAGAACCUUACCAACACUUGACAUGUUCGUCGCGACUCUAAGAGAUUAGAGUUUUCGGUUCGGCCGGACGAAACACAGGUGCUGCAUGGCUGUCGUCAGCUCGUGUCGUGAGAUGUUGGGUUAAGUCCCGCAACGAGCGCAACCCUCACUUUUAGUUGCCAUCAUUAAGUUGGGCACUCUGAAAGAACUGCCAGUGAUAAGCUGGAGGAAGGUGGGGAUGACGUCAAGUCCUCAUGGCCCUUAUGUGUUGGGCUACACACGUGCUACAAUGGUAUCUACAACAGGAAGCAAGACUGCGAAGUUAAGCAAAUCCCUAAAAGAUACCUCAGUUCGGAUUGCACUCUGCAACUCGAGUGCAUGAAGCUGGAAUUACUAGUAAUCGUGGAUCAGCGUGCCACGGUGAAUGCGUUCCCGGGUCUUGUACACACCGCCCGUCACACCAUGGGAGUUGGUUCUACCUUAAGGCAAGGUUUCAAACCCUUGACCACGGUAUAGUCAGCGACUGGGGUG
rnacentral:rRNA from 1 species